AAUUUAUGGGCAGAGAAUCUGUCGCCGUUCUUAAUCCGUAUAUAAACAGAGAGCCCAAUUCUGAAGAGAAACAGAACGAACUUCCCAGAAUUAUGCUUCCUUCCAAUCUUCUCCUCCGGCUGUGAAUUUGUUCUUGCUUCCAUCAAUCCCGUGCUCGUGCUCUGAACAUGGUUCUAUCUCUCUCUCUGUCUCUACUGGAUGAUAUUGCUUUUUUAGUAUUGUUUUCAAUUAUUGGAAACUUUAUCUGAGCGAAGUUUCUGAUCAAUUGUCGUUAGUUCUCGUCAAGAAUGUAGGUUGAUUUUAUGUUAAUCGAAAGUGAAUUUUGAAGGUUAGUGGAUGAUCUUUAGGCGUUAGGCAUUUGGAUUUCGAGGAAACGAAUUUGAAGGAAACGAAGACGGACAACAAUGAGUGUUGAAACCGAUGUGGUGCCUUCUCUUGGGAUGGAUUUUGGUACCUCUAGGGCAUGAUUUGCUCUGAUUGACAUUGAAGGGACGUCUGUGCGGAAGGAAAGAGGGAGUGGCUACUCUAUAAGAGUUCGAUCAACGAUUGACUAUCACGAGAUAACUGUUUGGAAUCUUGAAAAGUGAAAUUGCUUCGAAAGAGGACAUGAUUGAUGAAAGAUGACUCGUACCUCGUUUGUCUUUGAUUACGGAGUUGAAUGGCUUCACUGUCGCACUGCUUAGAUCAAAAUUAAGUCAAGUACUUCAAUCUCAAUGAUAUGUAAGAAAAAAUUUCAAAAUUACAGGUUCAGAUCUCCUUAAUGCCACUUUUCUAGUAGCUUAAUUUCAAGUUUUUGAGCUACUAACUUCCCUUAUGAUUGUGAGGUUAGAGAGUUUGUUCCGAACUUGGUGAAUAUGGAGAGUAAUUAAGAAAGAAGCCCUUUUCUGGAAUUGCAA